CGAGAGGACCGGGCGACCGCCGGUGGGAGAGGGUCCCGAUGGGAAACCGCUCCUGCGGGAGGAAAGUCCGGGCGGAGUAGGACAGGGUGGUGGGUAACGCCCACCGGCCGCGAGGUUAGGGAAAGUGCAGCAGAAAGCAGACCGCCGAUGGGGGCGCCGAUCGCUUGCGGUCGAUGCUUCACAGGCAAGGGUGAAACGGUGAGGUAAGAGCUCACCAGCGGGCGUGGUGACACGCCCGGCUAGGUAAACCCCACCCGACGCAAGGCCAAACAGGGGGCAGAGCUUGUCCGGCUCGUUAUGACCUCCGGGUGGGCCGCUCGAGGCGGCGGGCAACCGUCGUCCUAGAAGAAUGGUCGCUGCGGGGCGCUUCGGCGUCCCGGACAAAACCCGGCUUACAGGUCCUCUCGGGGG
rnacentral:RNase_P_RNA from 1 species